AGUGCUGCAUGCAGCAGGGCCGUGUGUCAGUAGGAGAAGCUGCCAAGCCCUCCCCGCCCAUCACACCCUGCCAGGGCCUGUCUGCAAGAUUGAUGCUUUGGAGGAUCUCUGAGCAUUUCUGAAGAACUAAAGAAUUAUUCCUCACAGCAGCCCGUAAGGUGGUGUCCGGUUCAGAAGGUGCUGUGAGGCCUCCGGAUGCCCUGAAAGCCCCCUCUGGUUCAACCUGGGGCUGGAGGAAGGCAGUCUUUAGCGGAGAGGAGAUCCAG